CGUUUAGAUAUGAGGUGUGAUACGGAGUCUUAGGAUGAAGGUACAAAUCCCACGCUGCCAAGAAAAGCUGCUAACGUUAAGGUAUAAGUGCCCGUACUGUAAACCGACACAGGUGGCCAGGAUGAGAAAUCUAAGGCGGACAGGCUAACUCUCGUUAAGGAACUCUGCAAAAUGGCCCCGUAACUUCGGGAGAAGGGGUGCCCGCUAAUGUUAGUAUUCACGCAAUACAAAGCAUUGGAGGGCCGCAGUGAAGAGGCUCAAGCGACUGUUUAACAAAAACACAGGUCUAUGCUAAGCUGUAAGGCGAUGUAUAUGGGCUGACACCUGCCCAGUGCCGGAAGGUUAAGAGGAGGAGUGAGAGCUCCGAAUUGAAGCCCCGGUGAACAGCGGCCGUAACGAUAACGGUCCUAAGGUAGCGAAAUUCCUUGUCGGGUAAGUUCCGACCUGCACGAAUGGUGUAACGAUUUGAGCGCUGUCUUGACGGGAGGCCUGGUGAAAUUGUAUUACCGGUGAAGAUACCGGUUACCUGCAGUAGGACGGAAAGACCCCAUGGAGCUUUACUGUAGCUUGGUAUUGGGUUUUGGUGUUGCAUGUAUAGGAUAGUUGGGAGACUAAGAGGUAUGGACGCUAGUUCAUACGGAGUCAUUGGUGGAAUACCAACCAUUCAACAUUGAAAUUCUAAUCUGUGACUUGUAAUCAUGGAGACAGUGCUAGGUGGGCAGUUUGACUGGGGCGGUCGCCUCCGAAAGAGUAACGGAGGCGUUCAAAGGUUCCCUCAGGUUGGAUGGAAAUCAACCAUAGAGUGCAAUGGCAGAAGGGAGCUUGACUGCGAGACUGACGGGUCGAGCAGGUGCGAAAGCAGGACAUAGUGAUCCGGCGAUUCCGAAUGGAAGGAUCGUCGCUCAACGGAUAAAAGCUACCCUGGGGAUAACAGGCUGAUUCUGCCCGAGAGUCCAUAUCGACGGCAGAGUUUGGCACCUCGAUGUCGGCUCAUCGCAUCCUGGGGCUGGAGAAGGUCCCAAGGGUUGGGCUGUUCGCCCAUUAAAGCGGUACGUGAGCUGGGUUCAGAACGUCGUGAGACAGUUCGGUCCCUAUCCACUGUAGGCGUUAGAAUAUUGAGAAGAUCUGUCCUUAGUACGAGAGGACCGGGAUGGGCAAACCUCUGAUGUACCAGUUGUCACGCCAGUGGCAUAGCUGGGUAGUCACGUUUGGAACAGAUAACCGCUGAAAGCAUCUAAGCGGGAAACUGACUUCAAGAUAAGUAUUCUUUAAGACAACUUCGAGACUAGGAGAUUGAUAGGUUGGGGGUGUAAGA
rnacentral:rRNA from 1 species